UACGAAGGGGGCUAGCGUUGUUCGGAAUCACUGGGAGUAAAGCGCACGCAGGCGGAUCGAUAAGUCGGGGGGGAAAGCCCGGGGCUCAACCUCGGAAUUGCCUUCGAUACUGUCGGUCUCGAGUCCGGGUGAGGUGAGUGGAAUUCCUAGUGUAGAGGUGAAAUUCGUAGAUAUUAGGAAGAACACCAGUGGCGAAGGCGGCUCACUGGCCCGGUACUGACGCUCAGGUGAGAAAGCGUGGGGAGCAAACAGG
rnacentral:rRNA from 1 species